rnacentral:rRNA from 1 species
GACGAACGCUGGCGGCAUGCCUAACACAUGCAAGUCGAACGGGGAUAGCAAUAUCCUAGUGGCGAACGGGUGAGUAACACGUGAGCAACCUGCCUCAUACAACGGGAUACCUACGGGAAACUGUAGUUAAUACGGUAUAAGACCACACUCCGGCAUCGGAGAGGGGUAAAAGAUUUUAUCGGUAUGAGAUGGGCUCGCGGCGCAUUAGCUAGUUGGUACGGUAACGGCGUACCAAGGCGACGAUGCGUAGCCGACCUGAGAGGGUGAUCGGCCACAUUGGGACUGAGAUACGGCCCAA